GUUGAAAUUUCGUUGGAGCCGAGUCAAUGGGGUCUCAGCUACUCCCUGCCUUGUUCUUGGUGUGUGUUAUAACAGGACAAACCAGAGGUUCUCUACAUCUGACCCCAUUUCCAACAAGGAUAACGGAAGGGAACACUUACACCCUGAUGUGUAGCAGCAGCGCAGGUAGUCGGAACAUAGAGUGGUCGAGGAACAGUGGUCUCAUCGUACGUACACGCUAUGUGACUGCUACUCAGUGUGCAGAAGACGUAGUAAACCCCACCGCAUUCAAUACAUUCCUGUCAGGACGUUUCAACACCAGCUGCGAAUUUGACCAACACAAUGUAACACUCAGGAUCAGCGC